UACGAAGGUGGCGAAUGUUGCUCGGAUUCACUGGGCGUAAAGCGUCUGUAGGUGGUUGUGUAAGUUAGAGGUGAAAGCCCCGCGCUCAACGUGGGAAUUGCCUUUAAAACUGCAUAACUAGAAGGUAUGAGAGGAUGGCGGAAUGACUGGUGUAGAGGUGAAAUUCGUAGAUAUCAGUCGGAACACCCAAGGCGAAGGCAGCUAUCUGGCAUAUUCUUGACACUGAGGGACGAAAGCGUGGGGAGCAAACAGG
rnacentral:rRNA from 1 species